CCCUUCGAGAGUGAGAGUGAGCAUGAUGGUGAGAACCAGGGGAACGAGAGUAUCUUCUUCUGUGGGAAGGUGAACGCAAACAAGACAAGCUCCGAGCCAUGGAUGAGCGAAUUUUCAAAACCUAACUCGGUAACUCGUCACCAACUCGCAAAUCCUUACUCACUUAUCACCACUGAUAAUGAUUUAGGGUUUACCUGCUCUUAAAACCAGCAAUGAAGCAUCGAUGGAAAGGCCGUUGCACGAGGAAGGGAUCAGCGCCAGAGAGAGCUGCAGCGGAGGGGUUAGGGGUUAGCACCGACGGAAGGG
rnacentral:lncRNA from 1 species